AGAAGAGGGAAGUGGUGAGGAUCUGCGCCGUCAGUGUCCGUCACGGUGUGGUGAGGACAGGAGCACGUCCCUCGAUCCUGCAUCCAAGUGCGUUGUGCUGCGAGUCCAGAAGCAGCACCAGCAGCAGCAGCAGCCUUAGCGACGACUCCACCACCAGUCACACGAAGGCAGGAAUUAUGGAGGAUCCGCACAACGAACACCACGAAGGGGAUGACAGCCGCAGGCGCGUGGCAACUGUGGCGGUGCUUCGCUGGAAACGAAACCGCUCGACGCAAUGACUCGGGCACCAAAGUGAACACCUAGGGAAUGGCAGGAGUCACAUUGAAGACACGGGACUUUGAGCUCGGUGUGCGUAGGUUGGUGAAUUUAGGCUGUAUAGGCUGCUUCCUGCCACCAACAGCAAAGAGUCUUCGCGGUUCCCUUCCAUCAAGUCUGCUGCUUACUACGUCGUUGUUUAAAAAAAACUCUAUAUAUAGAGGAUAUCUGCUGGAAGAAGACAGAGAGGAUGGCGAAGCGAACUGUGGAAGACUGUAGAAACGUUACUUGGAGAAAAAACAAUUCUCCUGGGAGUAAGGAGUUCGCCACAUACGCUCUUAGCAGCUUCAUACUUAUUUCAAAAAGGUGUUCGUGGUUGGAUGGAAUACGAUGAUGGUGAGGAGCGAAACUGAACUGCCGAGCCCGAAGUCUACAGGAUGAUGAAUGAUAGAUAUAUAGAGAAGAACGUGAAGCGGUUUCUUCUGUCGAAAGGGAGAGAAUUCAAAUUUUCUCAUUAUUAGAAGAACACAGUUUGUGUGACACGUGCGACGGCUCUUUGUUUGGCACCUCCAAACAGAGGAGUUAUAUACACUAUAUAUAUACUCUAUUUUAUUAUAUUUUAUAUACUAUAAUAACUCUAACCUUUCUUUAGUGGAUCUUGCU